rnacentral:rRNA from 1 species
UUCCAGACUCCUACGGGAGGCAGCAGUGGGGAAUAUUGGGCAAUGGGCGCAAGCCUGACCCAGCAACGCCGCGUGAAGGAAGAGGGCUUUCGGGUUGUAAACUUCUUUUGACAGGGAAGAGUAGAAGACGGUACCUGUCGAAUAAGCCACGGCUAACUACGUGCCAGCAGCCGCGGUAAUACGUAGGUGGCAAGCGUUGUCCGGAUUUACUGGGUGUAAAGGGAGCGUAGACGGUUCUGCAAGUCUGAAGUGAAAGCCCGUGGCUUAACCGCGGAACGGCUUUGGAAACUGUGGAACUGGAGUGCUGGAGAGGCAAGCGGAAUUCCUAGUGUAGCGGUGAAAUGCGUAGAUAUUAGGAGGAACACCAGUGGCGAAGGCGGCUUGCUGGACAGUAACUGACGUUGAGGCUCGAAAGCGUGGGGAGCAAACAGGAUUAGAUACCCCAGUA